UGAAAAAGCUUAGACAGUGAGGAGAUCAGACCGCAGACUCAGAUUUUUUAGCACUUUGCGCAAACUGAAAUUUCCUAGUAAAUGGUCAUAACUCUUCAUAUGUUUCUGUGGCGGCCUUGAAUUAUAGAAUAUGUGGAACAUGCAAUUAAAUUUUCUGUUAUGAUAAUUUUCUUUGGUAGCCAUUACCUCUGCUUUCUCUGUAAAUAUCAAUUUAUAAAAAUCAGGUUUACACGAGUAUAUAUCACAAAUGUUGCAUGAUCGUCCCUGAAUUUCAAGUUGGUGGAGGGAGAAUGAAUGUCUGCAAGCAGGGAGCUCACCAUAUUACUAAAUAGUUACAAAAGCUUAAACCAUCUUAAGCAAAUUCACUCAUUCCUCAUCACUCGUGGUCUCUUACGGGACACCUUCUUCUUUACCAAACUUCUCCAUUCCAUCACUCUCAAUCAUGGCUGCCAUCUCCUCUACGCUUCACUCCUCUUCCACCACAUGGAAACAACCAGAAUCUACCUAUGGAAUACCAUUAUCGGAGGCUUCUCUGUCAGCGCCCAACCUGUAAUGUCUCUUGAUUUCUAUACGAGAAUGCGCCGAAAUGGCGUCGAUCCGGAUAACCACACAUUUCCUUUGCUUCUCAAGUCGUUUUUACAUUUGAAAAACGAAAACCCAUUUCCGAUUUACGCUCACAUUGUCAAGUUCGGACUGGAUUUAAACAAUUUCGUGAGAAAUUCUCUUAUCACUGUUUUUGCUAACUGUGGACAUACUGGUUUUGCACGCCAAAUGUUUGAUGAGAGUGAACACAAGGAUGUUGUUACUUGGACUGCAAUGAUUGACGGAUAUGCUAGAAAUGGUUUUCCCAUCGAAGGAUUAAAAUGUUUCAAGCAGAUGAUGUUAUUGGGUGUGAAGGUUGAUGAGGUGACUGUUGUAAGUGCUCUUAGCGCAGCCGGGAUGACUAAUAAUGUUUGGUUUGGUAGAUGUGUUCAUGGGCUUUAUAUACAACCGGUAAGAGUGAAAUGGGAUGUUUAUGUUGGUAGUGCUCUUGUGGAUAUGUACUCAAAAUGUGGUUAUUGCGAUGACGCUCGUAAAGUUUUUGAUGAAAUGCCUGUAAAAAAUGUUGUUUCUUGGAGUGCGAUGAUAGCCGGUUAUGUCCAAUGUAAUAGGUUCAAAGAUGCGCUACUUCUCUUUGAAGACAUGCUAAUGGCUGAUUGCAGACCUAACCAAACUACUUUAACUAGUGUUCUUACCGCUUCUGCCCAACUGGGCGCAUUGGAUCAAGGUAGGUGGGUGCAUGAGUAUAUAAAUAGGAAUUCGUUAGAGAUGAACUCAAUUAUUGCGACAGCCUUAAUAGAUAUGUAUGCGAAGUGCGGCUGUGUUGGUGAGGCAAUGCUAGUUUUCGAGAAAUUGCCUAUAAAGAAUAUCUACUCUUGGACAGCCAUGAUUAAUGGUUUGGCAAUGCAUGGGGAUGCCUUGAGCUCCUUGAAUCUCUUCUGCCGUAUGUUAAGUAGUGGUGUUCAACCAAACGGAGUUACCUUCAUCGGUGUUCUCAGUGCCUGUGCUCAUGGUUGUCUUGUAAACGAGGGAUGUGAAUUGUUUGAGUUGAUGAAGCACAGAUAUCAUGUGGAGCCAAACAUUGAUCACUAUGGUUGCAUGAUUGAUAUACUAGGUCGGGCAGGGUACUUGGAGGAAGCAAGAAAGUUGAUAGAAGAGAUGCCAAUGGAGCCUUCUCCUGGUGUAUGGGGAACUCUAUUUGGUGCCUGUAUGAUUCACAAGGCCUUUGACCUAGGGGAAUACAUAGGUAACCUUCUAAUCAGGCUUCAGCCAAAUCAUAGUGGUCGGUAUGCACUUUUGGCAAACAUGUACUCAGCAAAUUAUAGAUGGGAUGAUGCUGCAUAUGUGAGGAAGAUUAUGAAAGGGAAAGGCGUUGAGAAGAGACCAGGAUUUAGCUGGAUAGAAGUGAACGGUUCAAUUCAUGAAUUCGUUGCCUUUGAUGGAUCUCAUUCUGUGACCACUGGUUUGUAUGAGAUGUUAGACAAUAUCUUGGUUCAGUUGAAGGUCGCUGAUUAUCUUCCAGAGACCAUGCUAUAUGAUGGGGGUUAAUACUUACCACACCACAUGUUUUCCAGCAUUUUGAGAUGAUCCCUGGACUCUUAUCACAUUGACCCAGGAUCACUUCUUGAUCUUUAUUGUACAAGUCAAAUAUGCUAGGAAAAAAAAAUCUUGAUGUGAAAGUUGCUGUCUUUGCAAUAAAUUAUUAGUAUGCUUAUCCUUGUAGAACUUACGUUGUCAAUUUUCACGACACAUCUAAAGGUAUUAAAGAUUUCUUUGUGUUAA
rnacentral:misc_RNA from 1 species